CUGGUUGAUCCUGCCAGUAGUCAUAUGCUUGCCUCAAAGAUUAAGCCAUGCAUGUCUAAGUAUAAGCAACUAUACGGUGAAACUGCGAAUGGCUCAUUAAAUCAGUUAUCGUUUAUUUGAUAGUACCUUACUACAUGGAUAACCGUGGUAAUUCUAGAGCUAAUACAUGCUAAAAACCUCGACUUCGGAAGGGGUGUAUUUAUUAGAUAAAAAACCAAUGCCCUUCGGGGCUCCUUGGUGAAUCAUAAUAACUUAACGAAUCGCAUGGCCUUGCGCCGGCGAUGGUUCAUUCAAAUUUCUGCCCUAUCAACUUUCGAUGGUAGGAUAGUGGCCUACCAUGGUAUCAACGGGUAACAGGGAAUUAGGGUUCGACUCCGGAGAGGGAGCCUGAGAAACGGCUACCACAUCCAAGGAAGGCAGCAGGCGCGCAAAUUACCCAAUCCCGACACGGGGAGGUAGUGACAAUAAAUACUGAUACAGGGCUCUUUUGGGUCUUGUAAUUGGAAUGAGUACAAUUUAAAUCCCUUAACGAGGAACAAUUGGAGGGCAAGUCUGGUGCCAGCAGCCGCGGUAAUUCCAGCUCCAAUAGCGUAUAUUAAAGUUGUUGCAGUUAAAAAGCUCGUAGUUGAACCUUGGGCCUGGCUGGCCGGUCCGCCUCACCGCGUGUACUGGUCCGGCCGGGCCUUUCCUUCUGGGGAACCUCAUGCCCUUCACUGGGCGUGUUGGGGAACCAGGACUUUUACUUUGAAAAAAUUAGAGUGUUCAAAGCAGGCCUUUGCUCGAAUACAUUAGCAUGGAAUAAUAGAAUAGGACGUGUGGUUCUAUUUUGUUGGUUUCUAGGACCGCCGUAAUGAUUAAUAGGGAUAGUCGGGGGCAUCAGUAUUCAAUCGUCAGAGGUGAAAUUCUUGGAUUGAUUGAAGACUAACUACUGCGAAAGCAUUUGCCAAGGAUGUUUUCAUUAAUCAGUGAACGAAAGUUAGGGGAUCGAAGACGAUCAGAUACCGUCGUAGUCUUAACCAUAAACUAUGCCGACUAGGGAUCGGACGGUGUUAGUAUUUUGACCCCCCGUUCGGCCCCUCGGGGAAAUCAAAAGUUUUUGGGUUGUGGGUGGAGGUAGACGCAAGGCUGAAACCUUAAAGAAAUUGACGGAAGGGCACCACCAGGCGUGGAGCCUGCGGCUUAAUUUGACUCAACACGGGGAAACUCACCAGGUCCAGACACAAUAAGGAUUGACAGAUUGAGAGCUCUUUCUUGAUUUUGUGGGUGGUGGUGCAUGGCCGUUCUUAGUUGGUGGAGUGAUUUGUCUGCUUAAUUGCGAUAACGAACGAGACCUUAACCUGCUAAAUAGCCAGGCCCGCUUUAGCGGGUCGCCGGCUUCUUAGAGGGACUAUCGGCUCAAGCCGAUGGAAGUUUGAGGCAAUAACAGGUCUGUGAUG
rnacentral:rRNA from 1 species